rnacentral:lncRNA from 1 species
CAGCAUCGUUUAUAUUUGUAAAGGCCAUAAUUCUAGAAUGGUAAAAGUGACACCAUCAAAAUUUACACUUGAUCUGUGUUUUGUGGUAAUAAGCAUGGUGUAUAAGUGUCAUAACAUUUGGUUGAGGCAAACUUAUUAAGUUAGAAAACGUAAACAAAACAUUCAGCAUUUUUUCCAUUUCUUAAGGACAUAACUCUAAGAAUGGUAAUAGUGACGACACCAAAAUUUUAACUUGAUCUGUAUUUUGGGGUAAUAAGCAUUGUAUAAAACUUUUAUAAUAUU